CGCUGGCGGCGUGCCUAAUACAUGCAAGUAGAACGCUGAAGAGAGGAGCUUGCUCUUCUUGGAUGAGUUGCGAACGGGUGAGUAACGCGUAGGUAACCUGCCUUGUAGCGGGGGAUAACUAUUGGAAACGAUAGCUAAUACCGCAUAACAAUGGAUGACACAUGUCAUUUAUUUGAAAGGGGCAAAUGCUCCACUACAAGAUGGACCUGCGUUGUAUUAGCUAGUAGGUGAGGUAACGGCUCACCUAGGCGACGAUACAUAGCCGACCUGAGAGGGUGAUCGGCCACACUGGGACUGAGACACGGCCCAGACCCCUACGGGAGGCAGCAGUAGGGAAUCUUCGGCAAUGGGGGCAACCCUGACCGAGCAACGCCGCGUGAGUGAAGAAGGUUUUCGGAUCGUAAAGCUCUGUUGUAAGUCAAGAACGAGUGUGAGAGUGGAAAGUUCACACUGUGACGGUAGCUUACCAGAAAGGGACGGCUAACUACGUGCCAGCAGCCGCGGUAAUACGUAGGUCCCGAGCGUUGUCCGGAUUUAUUGGGCGUAAAGCAAGCGCAGGCGGUUUGAUAAGUCUGAAGUUAAAGGCUGUGGCUCAACCAUAGUUCGCUUUGGAAACUGUCAAACUUGAGUGCAGAAGGGGAGAGUGGAAUUCCAUGUGUAGCGGUGAAAUGCGUAGAUAUAUGGAGGAACACCGGUGGCGUAAGCGGCUCUCUGGUCUGUAACUGACGCUGAGGCUCGAAAGCGUGGGGAGCGAACAGGAUUAGAUACCCUGGUAGUCCACGCCGUAAACGAUGAGUGCUAGGUGUUGGAUCCUUUCCGGGAUUCAGUGCCGCAGCUAACGCAUUAAGCACUCCGCCUGGGGAGUACGACCGCAAGGUUGAAACUCAAAGGAAUUGACGGGGGCCCGCACAAGCGGUGGAGCAUGUGGUUUAAUUCGAAGCAACGCGAAGAACCUUACCAGGUCUUGACAUCCCGAUGCUAUUUCUAGAGAUAGAAAGUUACUUCGGUACAUCGGUGACAGGUGGUGCAUGGUUGUCGUCAGCUCGUGUCGUGAGAUGUUGGGUUAAGUCCCGCAACGAGCGCAACCCCUAUUGUUAGUUGCCAUCAUUCAGUUGGGCACUCUAGCGAGACUGCCGGUAAUAAACCGGAGGAAGGUGGGGAUGACGUCAAAUCAUCAUGCCCCUUAUGACCUGGGCUACACACGUGCUACAAUGGUUGGUACAACGAGUUGCGAGUCGGUGACGGCAAGCUAAUCUCUUAAAGCCAAUCCCAGUUCGGAUUGUAGGCUGCAACUCGCCUACAUGAAGUCGGAAUCGCUAGUAAUCGCGGAUCAGCACGCCGCGGUGAAUACGUUCCCGGGCCUUGUACACACCGCCCGUCACACCACGAGAGUUUGUAACACCCGAAGUCGGUGAGGUAACCUUUUGGAGCCAGCCGCCUAAGGUGGGAUAGAUGAUUGG
rnacentral:rRNA from 1 species